GACGAAUGCUGGCGGCGUGCUUAACACAUGCAAGUCGAACGGAAAGGCCCUGCUUUUGUGGGGUGCUCGAGUGGCGAACGGGUGAGUAACACGUGAGUAACCUGCCCUUGACUUUGGGAUAACUUCAGGAAACUGGGGCUAAUACCGGAUAGGAGCUCCUGCUGCAUGGUGGGGGUUGGAAAGUUUCGGCGGUUGGGGAUGGACUCGCGGCUUAUCAGCUUGUUGGUGGGGUAGUGGCUUACCAAGGCUUUGACGGGUAGCCGGCCUGAGAGGGUGACCGGCCACAUCGGGACUGAGAUACGGCCCAGACUCCUACGGGAGGCAGCAGUGGGGAAUAUUGCACAAUGGGCGGAAGCCUGAUGCAGCAACGCCGCGUGCGGGAUGACGGCCUUCGGGUUGUAAACCGCUUUCGCCUGUGACGAAGCGUGAGUGACGGUAAUGGGUAAAGAAGCACCGGCUAACUACGUG
rnacentral:rRNA from 1 species